GCAAGCUCCACAUCUCCUGGAAGUCCCUCACGUCUCUCUCUGCCACGUCACAGUGCAUGAAAAGAUGUCCCGCUCCAUUUGUUGAUUUGACUGGACAGAUCAUCAAAGGAUGUCCUGUCGGUGAAAGAGAACAGGAACAGGACAGCGUCCACUUGCUCCUUACAGGACUGGAGGACAGGGAACGUCCCACAGCUGCAGACGGAAGAAAAGCACCCUGCCGCCUUCUGUCAGCUUCACUGGCCAAUACACCACUGUCGUCUCAAUACCUUAAACAACAAAAGAUAAUAGGUUUUUAAUUGUACAAACUACUUUCAAA